rfam:Erwinia sp. Leaf53 contig_4, whole genome shotgun sequence.
ACCGGUUGGUGGCACACUUCUCCCUGAACGGGCGGAGUUGUUCUGCACAGAUGAGUCGUGCAAACCCCAGGCCCGCUGAAUGCGGGCUUUUUUUU